ACUCCUACGGGAGGCAGCAGUAGGGAAUAUUGGUUAAUGUGCGAAAGCGCGAACCAGCAACGCCGCGUGUGCGAUGAAGGCCUUCGGGUCAUAAAGCACUUUUUGCAGGGAAGAGGAAGGACGGUACCUGCAGAAUAAGUCUCGGCUAACUACGUGCCAGCAGCCGCGGUAAAACGUAGGGGACGAGCGUUAUCCGGAUUUACUGGGCGUAAAGCGCGUGCAGGCGGCAUGGCAAGUUGGAUGUGAAAGCUCCCGGCUUAACUGGGAGAGGUCGUUCAAUACUGCCAGGCUUGAGAGCGGUAGAGGGAAGCGGAAUUCCGGGUGUAGUGGUGAAAUGCGUAGAUAUCCGGAGGAACACCAGUGGCGAAAGCGGCUUCCUGGCCCAUUUCUGACGCUCAGACGCGAAAGCUAGGGUAGCAAACGGGAUUAGAGACCCCGGUAGUCCUAGCCGUAAACGAUGUGAACUUGGCGUUGGCGGGUUUAAAUCCGUCAGUGCCGUAGCUAACGCGAUAAGUUCACCGCCUGGGGACUACGGCCGCAAGGUUAAAACUCAAAGGAAUUGACGG
rnacentral:rRNA from 1 species